UAUAUCUCAUGUACAAACCUAACCUCAAUCUAAUCAUAUAACUAACUCUUGGAUUCUAAUUAUGAACCUGUUUGUGUUGAAGCCUUUUCUUGUUAUCUACUGGUGCACAAUGAGGAUUCUUAGCUCUCUGUUCUCUUCUCCCUUAUUUUAGCAUCAAUAAUUUAAUUUGAUAUGAGAAGUGAUAGUAAUUAUGUAGACGUGAAAGGAAUAAACGAUAAAAGCAAGAAAGCAUAUUAGUCCAAGUUUUUGAGUGAUUGGAAGUGUAGCAUAUAUCCUUUUGCGCAACCAAAAUAUAAGGGCGCUAUUCAUCAGCAGUUUGCAUAUAGUAACUAUAGAUUUUAAAGCACGCGUCACUAAAAAAAGACUUUAGCUUGUCGGCCCACUGGGCGUCUCCCCACCACCACCACCUCCGCC
rnacentral:lncRNA from 1 species